UACAGAGGGUGCAAGCGUUAUUCGGAAUUACUGGGCGUAAAGGGCGCGUAGGCGGCCCGUCGAGUCGGGUGUGAAAGCCCGGGGCUCAACCCCGGAACGGCACCCGAGACUGGCGGGCUCGAGACCGGGAGAGGAGGGUGGAAUACCCAGUGUAGAGGUGAAAUUCGUAGAUAUUGGGUGGAACACCGGUGGCGAAAGCGGCUCUCUGGCCCGGUUCUGACGCUGAGGCGCGAAAGCGUGGGGAGCAAACAGG
rnacentral:rRNA from 1 species